rnacentral:rRNA from 1 species
CCUACGGGGGGCAGCAGUGGGGAAUAUUGCACAAUGGGCGCAAGCCUGAUGCAGCCAUGCCGCGUGUAUGAAGAAGGCCUUCGGGUUGUAAAGUACUUUCAGCGGGGAGGAAGGUGUUGUGGUUAAUAACCACAGCAAUUGACGUUACCCGCAGAAGAAGCACCGGCUAACUCCGUGCCAGCAGCCGCGGUAAUACGGAGGGCGCGAGCGUUAAUCGGAAUUACUGGGCGUAAAGCGCACGCAGGCGGUCUGUUAAGUCAGAUGUGAAAUCCCCGGGCUCAAACUGGGAACUGCAUCUGAUACUGGCAAGCUUGAGUCUCGUAGAGGGGGGUAGAAUUCCAGGUGUAGCGGUGAGAUGCGUAGAGAUCUGGAGGAAUACCGGUGGCGAAGGCGGCCCCCUGGACGAAGACUGACGCUCAGGUGCGAAAGCGUGGGGAGCAAACAGGAUUAGAUACCCCUGUAGUC